rnacentral:rRNA from 1 species
GAUGAACGCUGGCGGCGUGCCUAAUACAUGCAAGUCGAGCGAACAGACGAGGAGCUUGCUCCUCUGACGUUAGCGGCGGACGGGUGAGUAACACGUGGAUAACCUACCUAUAAGACUGGGAUAACUUCGGGAAACCGGAGCUAAUACCGGAUAAUAUAUUGAACCGCAUGGUUCAAUAGUGAAAGACGGUUUUGCUGUCACUUAUAGAUGGAUCCGCGCCGCAUUAGCUAGUUGGUAAGGUAACGGCUUACCAAGGCAACGAUGCGUAGCCGACCUGAGAGGGGGAUCGGCCACACUGGAACUGAGACACGGUCCAGACUCCUACGGGAGGCAGCAGUAGGGAAUCUUCCGCAAUGGGCGAAAGCUUGACGGAGCAACGCGGCGGGAGUGAUGAAGGUCUUCGGAUCGUAAAACUCUGUUAUUAGGGAAGAACAAAUGGGUAAGUAACUAUGCACGUCUUGACGGUACCUAAUCAGAAAGCCACGGCUAACUACGU